rnacentral:lncRNA from 1 species
CUGAUAAACAAGUUCCUAUGAUGAGGUAAGUCGAACAUAAAGAGAACAGGACCUCCAGAAGCUUAAAUGGAGCAGGGAACUUCAGAGUGUCAUCUGUUUGACCCUUACAAGAACCCUAUGAAGGAGGUGCCCCUGUCCUCUUGACAGAUGGUGGGACUGGCUCAAGAGUGACUUACCCCUUUGGAAUUAGGGUUUAAACUCAAGUCUUUGUAACUCCAAAAUUCAUUUGCUUUCCCCAUGUCUUCCACUGGAUCCAGAAAGCCCCUGAAUCCUUAGUUCUUAUAGUAUCAUAAAGCUUGAGCAGGAACCUAUUAAUCUGGAUCAAGGCCCAAAGAGGCUUCCCUUGUAGUAGUUGAAGGUUAUGAAUAUGAUAUGUAGCAGUCUCACCCUUGACCUAGGCUUUUGUGUGUGUUUGUUUGUUUGUUUAGAAUUUUUAGUCUUAGAAUAUAAGAGUGUUAAAAACACAAGGUAAACAUUUACUAGUCAGUCAGGCACAGUGGCACACAUCUGUAAUCCCAGCAACUUGGGAGGCUGAGGCAGGAGGAUCACAAGUUCCAGGCCAGCCUCAGCAACUUAGCAAGACACUGUCUCAAAAACUAAAAAUGGCUGAGGAAGUGGCUCAGUGGUAAAGCAUCCCUGGGUUUAAUCCCCAGUAACCAAAAAAAAAAAAAAAAAAAACACAAAAUCCAUUGGCCCUACUUUCUUAGUUUAUAGCCAAAGAAACUGAGACCCAGAAGAGAGGGAUUCUCCUUAACUAGUCAUGGGCAUGACAGAGCCUGCAGGUGAGAUGCGAUCCUGCCCGUGCCCAUUCCCUUUGUGGGUGGGGCUCCCAGUGGAGUCUUCCCUGUGUGGGGAUCUCCUGGAGAAAGGGCCGUCUUGUACUCUCCUGCUUUGCCUGGCACAGGAAGCCAUCUUUCCCACGCUGACCCUUUCAUUCUCCUAAGACCGGACAAGCUGUUGGAUCUCUUAGGUCUGGUACCUGCAGACCAGGAGGACACAUUUACUGACCUGAAGCACAAAGCCAGCUUUGCAGCUCUGAGGAGCGGCUCUAUUUUCACCCACCGGUGAGCUUGUAGAAACUGCGGUUUAGUUCACGUAAGGCUGAGAUAGAGCACCAUGAUUGCAGGCACGUCUUGGCCUGGGAUGGAGUGGACUCGGGUCUCCGCUCUCCUAUGAAUUGUUACCUCUCUGUUCUCUCAACCUGCAGAGUGGGGUUGAUGAUCUGUGUGUUGCCAUAGUUGUGAGUAUGUCUAGUCUGAUCCUUUCCCCACAACGAAAGCCAGGACUGUUGAAGACAUGACCACAAGAUUCUACAACUAUAAAGUAACAGUCAAUAUAGGAAGGCGUGUAAAUACAAGACAAUAAAAACCACUCGCAGCUGUACUCUGAAAAUGUUUGCAUCUCCUUCUCCCUAUAUCAACGCUUUAGUUACAUGGUCAAUUUAAACUAAUUUGGAGAUUUGCCCUGGCUUGAACCUCUAGAGGCCUCUUCAUCCUCCUAGGUUGGAGGUAGGUAGUGCCAGGCAGCUGCAACAGCUCCAUGACGUACGUCGUGGAGAGGACCAGAUUGGUCCUUGGGGCACUGGCUCCCCUCCCCAUGCCCAGGAUACUGAGCUCUGCCCAGGUGUCUCGUUCCAGCAGCAGGAGGGAGGAGCUCUGCUACAGCCCUGCAGGGCCUUGAGCUUUCUUUCAGAAUUUAUUCAGAUGACCGAAUCUUUAAGAGUGGCCAGGAAAUGUCAUCUUCUAACUAGACAUAUUGCCUAAGGUUUGUUACUAAGGAAGGGCAAAGUAUUUUGAGAAGCAGCUAGUCAUUUCUCAUAAGUAGGAACAUAGCUAGGUACAGUGACACAUGCCUGUGAUCUCAGUGACUUAGAAGCUGAGGCUGGAGGAUCACAAGUUUAGGGCUAGCCUGGGCAACUUAACAAGACCCUGUGUUGAAGUAAAAAAUUAUAAAGACUUGGGGAUAUAGCCAGUGGUAAAAACCCCCUGGUUCAAGAAACAAAAACCAAUAGAAACAUAAAAAUGAAUGACUUCUAAAGCUGGCCAUGGGCACAAACUUAUAGUCCCCACUACGUGGGAGGCUGAGGCAGGAGGAUCUCUUGAGAUCAAGAGUUCGGUCCAGCCUAGGUAACAUAGCAAGUCUAUGUCUCUCUUUUUUUUUUUUUUUUUGGAGGGGGGAACCAGGGAUUGAACUCCAGGGCACUCAACCACUGAGCCACAUCCCCAGCUCUAUUUUGUAUUUUGUUUAGAGACAGGGUCUCACUGAGUUGCUUAGCACUCGAUUUUGUUAAGGCUGGUUUUGAACUCACGAUCCUCCUGUCUCAGCCUCCUGAGCUCCUCGGAUCACAAGCAUGCACCACUACACCCGGCUAAGACUCUGUCUCAAUAAAAAAGAGGGGAUGGGGUUGUGGCUUGCCUAGCAUGUGUGAAGCACUGGGUUAGACCCUCAGCAUUACAUACAAAUAAAUAAAAGGUAUUGUGUUUUAAAAAAAGAGAGAAAGAAAGAAAAAGAAGGAAAGAAAGAAAGAAAACCGACUGACUUCUAAAUUGGAGGACUCUUUCUCCCCUUCCCCCUCCCCCAGUACUACGGUACUCUAUACUGAGCUUGGCUCUUUUUAUUGUUUGAGACAGGAUCUGCUAAAUUGGGCAGGCUAGACUCAAAUUUUCAAUUCUCUUGCCUCAGCCUCCUUAGUCACUGGGAUUACAGGUAUGUGCCACAACACCUAGCUUGAAUUAUUUAAUUUUUUAAAAUUUUUUAAUUAUAGAUGGACACAAUGUCUUUAUUUUACUUUAUAUCAUGCUGAGGAUCAAACCCAGUGCCUCACGAACGCCAGGUGGCCGCUCUACUUGUGAGCCACAACCCCACCCUAAUUUUUUUUUUAAUUGAACCCAGGGGCACUCCACCACUGAGCCACAUCCCCAGCUCUAUUUUGUAUUUUAUUUAGAGACAGGGACUCACUGAGUUACUUAGGGCCUCACUAAGUUGCUGAGGCUGAUUUUGAACUCACAAUCCUGCCUCAGCCUCCCAAGCUGCCGGGAUUACAGGCGUGUGACAUCUCGCCUGGCUCCAAAUUAUUUAAUCUUUAUAACAAGAUUGUGCUUUGUUCCAGGUGAGCAAGAAUAAGAGUAUUAUACAAUACAGAGUUGUAAUCUUCUGCAUCAUGUUUUUUAGCUCACAGAUUCUUGCACAGCCUCACUAUUUGAAGAAAGUUCAUUCUGAAAAUCUGAAGCAGUUAAUGGGUAAAUAUGAUCAGUUAUCUCCACCAGGUUCUCAGCCUGAGAAGGGUAAGCUUUUGUUCACCUCAUCAUCCUCAUCUGUGCCCUCUGCAGUGUUUGGGGACCAGCUUCUUUCACUUAGUAUAGCAUCCUCCUGUUCCUCUACGACAUAUUAUGUAUCAGUACUGCAUUCCUUUUUAUCGUUGAAUAAUAUUCCAUUGUAUGAAUGUACCACAUUUUGUUUUAGUUGAUGGAAAUUGGGAUUGUUCCCACUUUGUAUCACUGAUAGUAUUUAUUCCAUUAUACAAGUCGUAACACCAUUUAGCUUAUCCAUUCACCUAUUAAUGACAUUUUCUUUCUUUCUGGAGCUGUUACAAAUGAAAUUACUGUAAACAUUGAUGUCCAAGCCUUUGUGUAGACAUAGAUCUCCUUUUCUUUGGAGUAGAUAUCUAGGAGUGAUAUACACUGGAUCAUUUGGUAAAUGUAUGUGUGACUUCUUAAGAAACUGCCUGUGAUGGUUUGGAUGUGAGGUGUCCCCCCAAAGCUCAUGUGUGAGACAAUGCAAAGAGGCUUAGAGGAUCAUGAGAGUCUUACCUAGUCAGUGAACUACUCCCUGAUGGGAUGAGCUGUGUGGUAGGGUGUGGCUGGGAAGGUGGGAGAUGGGAGGUGGGCGUGCCCUUGGGGUAUAUUUUUGCACCUGGUGAGUGGAGUCUCUGCUUCCUGACAUAAUUCCUGAGCCCCUUCCUCCGCCACACUCUUGCAGCCUCACCUUGUGCCCUGAGGAAGGAGCCAGCUGUCUGUGGACUGAGACCUCUGAAAACGUGAGCCCCCAAUUACACUUUUUCUCCUUAAAAUUGCUCUUGCCAGGUCUUUUGGUCACAGCAACCAAAAAGCUGACUGAAGCUCUGCCAGACAAGUGAGUUGCGGUAGCCACGCCUGUGGUCCCAAUGGACCAGGCUGAAGCAGGAGGAUCACAAGUUCAAGGCCUGCCUGGGCAACUUAAUCCUGUCUCGAAAUAUAAAAUAAAAAGGACUUGGGGGGCUGGGGCUGGGGCUGAGCAGUAGAGCACUCACCUAGCAUGUUCGAGGCCCUGGGUCUGAUCCUCGGCACCACACAAAAAUAAAUAAAAUAAAGAUAUUGUUUAUCUACUACAACUGAAAAAUAAAUUUUAAAAAAAGGACUGCAAGAUUAUGUAGCUCUGUGGUAGAACACCUGUGGGCUUAGCCCCAAUGCCUGAUUUCAAAGUGGUGGUGCCCUUUUCUACCCCUCAGCCCCUCCCAGGAGCUCCAGCUGUCCACUCUCAUGAGAGGGGGACUCCAGUCUUCACUUCAGGCCAUCUUUACUUCAGGCCUCCUGGAGGGUGGGGAUGGCUCCCUGUGGUUUCACUUCACGUUUCCUUUUUCUUUCCUUUUUUUUUUUUUUUUAAUAAUACUAGGGAUUGAACUGAGGGAUAUGUGCUUUACCACUGGACUACAUCACUAGCCCUUUUUAGUGUUUGAGACAGAGUCUUGCUAAGUUGCUUAGUGCCUCACCAAGUUGCUGAGGCUAGCCUCAAACUUGUGAUCCUCCUGCCUCAGCCUCCCAAGUCCCUGGGAUUACAGGCGUGGGCCACUGCGCCAGCUUAGUUCACAUUUUCUUUUUAUUUUUUUUUCCUGUGUUUUUUAUUGGUGCAUUAUAGUGGUUCAUAAUGGUGGGGUUUGUCUUUACAUAGUUUACAUUUUCUUGAUGAUAAUGAUCUUCAACAUCUUUUCAUGUGUUUAUUGGCCAUUUCUAUUUAUUCUUUUCAGAAAUAUUUCUUAAAAUAUUUUGCCUAUAUUUAACCAUUUGUUAUUUUAUUAUUAUCCUAGUCAGAAUUUUUGUGCUAUUUACAUGGAAUAGGAGCUGAUUUUUGUAACUCAUCCAAUUGGGUUUCAUUUAGAUAAAAGUGGAUUUCAUUGGCAAGAGAAGAGCUGGUCAGCAGUGACUCUAGAGUGCUGUGCGGCUUGUUCUUGUGAAAGGGGAAACGCAGCUCUGCACAGGUUUGCUGCUGCCUCCUGCCUUACAGGUGAAACCUCACCGAUAGCACCCAGGGCAUUAUCAUUCCCUAGUGCACUUUCUGCUGUAUUGGUACUUAAUCAGGGCUUGAGGUAGGAGAAGAGAGAGAAUCAGCAAUCCUGUUGCUUGUCCCCUCUCCCCUGCAAAAAGAAUCUGACAAGCAAGCAGAAACAGCAUGAAUUACACACAGCCAAGCAGGCCUGAGAUGCAGCUACCUGGAGGCCAGGGCAGGAGACCACAGGGUGGGGCCGCCUGCAGCCUGGUGAACCCUGUCUCAGUGAAAACAGACUAGGGCUGGGCACGUGGCUCAGUGUGAGAACGCCUGCCUCCUCGCCUGCUCAGGCCCUGUGCUCCAUCGCCAGGACCACAGACAAUCCCCUCCUACGUUCCUCCUGACACUCUCUACACCAGGUAUCCCCAAGUGCCGUCUACUCGGUUUCCUCCCUCAGCCCUCACAUCAGUACUUUGAGAGAACAAACCAGAAGGUAUUCUAGAAUGCUUUUCCCACCAAUCAGAAGUAACGGAAUGAAACCAUAGCGCUGGGCAGGAGAAACAGAACUCUGUUCCCUCAUAUGCCUUCAUGCCCUAUACCCGAGUAGUUUUCGUCUUAGAGCUGAAUUUCUGAUUUCCAGCAUCCCC